GUAGGCUGCACGUAUCCCAAACUGUGCAACCAGACUCUACCUGGUGCUUCAUCAGCCCCGUGAGAACCACACCCUGUGUCAGCCAAGCAUGACUGAGAUGUGCAAGUGGACUCACAUUUAAGAGCAGCACAGCUCAUGGGAGAAGGGAGGAGGUGACAUCUCAUCACCGGGCAGUGUGCACAUCCAAAAGGAAGGGGAAGCCAGAGGGAAGCUGCUGUCUGAUCAUGAGAUUUGGGGUGCACUGAACAAAAAGUACUAUGUCAAAGAGCUGGGAAUCAGACAUUGGAGAGAAGAUGGAGGCAUUUUGUUGUGAGGAUGUUCAAGGCUGUGAGGCUGAAGAGGAAAAGGAGUAUACAGUGAAGGACCACGUUAGAAAUGCCUGAGCAAAGAUCUGAGGAUGAACAAAAAAAAAAAAAGGCUUCA